GCAACCAUGUGAAGAAGGAUGUGUUUGCUUCCCCUUCCACCAUGAUUAGCUCUGGAGAUUUGCAAACCUCUUCAUUCCUCUUCCCCUGAGACUAGUGCUCUCCACACGAAGCACAUGACUGUGAGGCGGAAUUGAAAAACAGUCGGCGUGCAAGAGACUCGUUAGAAAUGCUUCCCUAGUUUUCAUUCGGGAUGACACUGGCGCCCUCGUGUGGCAGUCAGGUGCCACUGUCAAGAGCUCAAACACGAGUCCGUUCCAAGAUGGCCUAAUGGAAACAGCUCCAAUCUGCAACUCCCAGCGUGAUUGACGCAGAAGACCGUGAUUUCUGCAUUUUGAACUGGAGACUUAGGUGAAGCCCCGAUGUUUUCCAGUGGGACCAAAGUGUGUGCCAUUCCUCUCACCUGAAAAUCAAGGAUCAAGAAGGGCUUACCGAGUUCUCCUUCAGCUGCAGCCCUUCCCCAUUGGGAAGGGAGGACCGUCUCUUGGAUGAGUUCCUGUUUGGGGUUGAGGUCAUAGCCCCUGCCUUCUUCUUCACAGUGAGCACCUCACAGCUGGCUUGGUCUUCAUUGUGUGUGCUCUUCCCAGCAUUGAUAACCCUGGAGAAGAAGCCAGAAAAGCUGGUCAGACGGAUAAAGCUGAGGGCACAGUCCCUUGUCAAGGG